rnacentral:lncRNA from 1 species
AAGCAAAUAAUUUCCUUCGAGUUCAAUGAAUUUACUUCCCAGAAACUAAAUAACUGAAUAUGUAUAUAUAUAUUUCAGCCAGGCAGUUGAUAAGAGUCGCCACAUCGUUAAAGCCAACAUUAAAAGUAAUUUCGAUUUAUCUACAACUCACUAUGAUGACACGAGCCGCCAGAGUCGUCCGUUAUGGUCUCAGCUAUACAAACAAAAAUUUGUUUCCAACACAUUCUGUCUCUAACUCAUACAUAUAGUAUAUAAUUUAAUAUAUAAUUUAUUUUGGAGAUUUACAAGCUGUAAAACCUGUUUAGAUACGCUAAAAAAAUUGGAAAUGUAAAUAUCUUUACUAGAAAAAAAGUCUGGCCAUAUUUCGUGCCGAGUUAAUAUAGCAAUAGAAUCAAUCUAGAUUCUAGAACCCUUUCUUAAGGAUCUAAAAGUCUGCUCAUUAAAGGUUGAGACUAAAUUGUGUUCUCGCAUGUUCCUGAAUUCCACUGAAUUAUUUAUGU